rnacentral:rRNA from 1 species
AGACAACUUUUAACGGUGGAUCUCUUGGCUCGUGCAUCGAUGAAGAACGCAGCCAGGUGCGAUAAGUAGUGUGAAUUGCAGAAUUCAGUGAAUCAUCGAAUCUUUGAACGCAAAUGGCGCUCUUGGGUUCUCCCAGGAGCAUGUCUGUCUGAGUGUCGGCAUCCAACUCAUCGCGCGCCACCGUCGCCUGGUGGGUCUGUGCGGCGUUGAGGGCAUCUCGG